UACGUAGGGUGCGAGCGUUGUCCGGAAUUACUGGGCGUAAAGAGCUCGUAGGUGGUUUGUCGCGUUGUUCGUGAAAACUCACAACUCAAUUGUGGGCGUGCGGGCGAUACGGGCAGACUGGAGUACUGCAGGGGAGACUGGAAUCCCUGGUGUAGCGGUGGAAUGCGCAGAUAUCUGGAGGAAUACCGGUGGCGAAGGCGGCAUCCUGGACCGGCAUUGACGCUGAGGAGCGAAAGCCAGGGGAGCAAACGGG
rnacentral:rRNA from 1 species